AGGCGACGCGCGCCUUUCCCGCCGAGUCUUCCAGAAGCCGCCGCCUCAGCGCAGCCGCGCGCGCGGCGAUGUUCGUCAGGAAUGGAAACGCAGCCGUGCGGGCCCGUGGGUUUCCAAAGAGCAACCCUAAAACUGGGCGCAGGGCGGUUUGGGCUGUAAAUCCUUUUGCCUACCGUCAACAGCGUUGCUUUGCUGCUUCAAGAGCAGUUGGAGGGCGAGCGUGCUGCUGCUCUCAUGUGCUAGGACUUGUAUCUGUGGCACAGGUUUAUUCAAGAUGAUAAACGGCAUUUGAAACCUUGACCUUGUGCUAAUGAAAGCUCCCAGCUGCUAGGGAAUUUACAUCUCCUGUGGCAGGUGUUAAUUGUGGUGAGACUAAAGAGCAGUUCCACUGCAGUGCCUCUUUCUCUGUGUUGAUAGAGUGGUUGGAUCAGAGCAUCUUGAAGAACGGGAAGAAUCCAGCACUGACCUCAUCAUAUAUAUACCCUAGGACUUGGGCAGAUAAAAGGAAGCACAGAGCUACUUGAGCAGUCUUCUGCAUCACUGGACACAGACCAGACCCACUAUAAAACCUCGUGUAAGCACUGAAGGAGAUUAUGGUAGGACAUCGUGGAGAGAAGAAGUUGCCUAACUGCAGAACCGCCAUAAAUGAUGCAAGUAGCCCGAAGCCACAUCAAGAGCCAGAAAUAAAAUCUGUUGAUGCGUAACAAGGAAACGUCUAAAGCUCAAAAGAAGGCUACCUCUUUUCAAAAAAUCUGCAGCAAUUAGAAGCAGCUGGAGUUUAAGGAAGGACUGCAAGACUUUAUCUGCCUAAGACUCAACUAAGCACCCACCCAAUGGUACUCCGCAUUUACAUUAUGACAACUUUUGGUAUAACGUUACACAGCCUGUUUGUUAUGAAAAUAUUUGUAAGUUACCCUAAUUUUGCAGUUUUACGUGAACAUUAUUUGGUAUGCCUGUUUAAAUAUAUAACGCGCGACUCUGAUUUAUUAGAAAAGAAAAAACGGGUAAGGUAUUGCAAAAGCAUUUUCCUCUGUAGAGUAUUAUCUGCCUCUUUCCCUAUCAUCUCUAGUUCUGUGCGACUUCUGUGUGACCGGUUGUUUUCAGAGACAUUAAAAAAAAGUGUUAGCAACAGAA